GGAUGUGUCGGAUGCUGCGUGGCAUUCAAGCACCCACAGGCAAGGAGGCUGCCAAGGUCGAGGGCUGCGGAGUCCCAGGGCCCAUGAGUCCGGCCGGAGUCUGGUGUGGACACUCUGAACACACGCAGAGGCCUUGUGGCACUCACCUCAGUUACAGCCGACCACGCAGGAAUCUAGAGAGAAAGACAGGCAGGGGGUCGCUUCCUCCCCAGGAUGCUGAGGCUUCCCCAGUGUACACGGAGUGCCCCGGCUCAGUGUCAGCUGCAGCCCUUCAUCCCCAUGGGAAAUGAACGUCCGGAGAAAAGCAGGAAAAUGUGCUCAUUACCAAGGAAAAACAAUAAACCCAUGGCUGCUGGACUUCUCACCUUACAGAAGUGCCUGUGAGAGAUUGUGGUGAGGUGCUUGGGGCAGGAAGGUCCUGGGCUGAGCCCAGAGCCUGAGCAAGCCCUCCGUGUGUGGCGUUCUUCAGCACAUGAUCCAGUUAAAAAGGGACCUGCUGACUGAAACUGUUAGAAGCCGGAAAGGUGGACUCCAAAGUGGCUGCAGCCUGGUGAAGAAGAGUGGCCAGUGACCUCCUUUCCAUCAGCCCAGGGCCUGGAUGGCAGCGAGAGCCUGAGAAGCUCCCUCGCUCACCCCACGUGUCCCCACCAGGCACUCACCUUACAUUCAUUUUUAACAUAAAGUUACCCUGGAAACGCUGGAUCCAGAAUGGUG